UACGUAGGUGGCAAGCGUUGUUCGGAAUUACUGGGCGUAAAGGGCUCGUAGGCGGCCAACUAAGUCGGAUGUGAAAUCCCCAGGCUCAACUUGGGAACUGCAUCCGAUACUGGAUGGCUUGAAUCCGGGAGAGGGAUGCGGAAUUCCAGGUGUAGCGGUGAAAUGCGUAGAUAUCUGGAGGAACACCGGUGGCGAAGGCGGCAUCCUGGACCGGUAUUGACGCUGAGGCGCGAAAGCUAGGGGAGCAAACGGG
rnacentral:rRNA from 1 species